UGAGUCACUCACCUGUGAGCUCCUAGAGGUCAGCGACUAAAUCUGGUUCCAUGGGGUCCUUGGGCCCUCGGAGCCCUAGCACAAGGCCCACUACUCAGUUGGCUCUUAAUCAAAUCUGUGAAACGAAUUAUAAAGUUGCUUUUCUACUAGACCUUGUUGGGACACCAAGGAGCCGGCGUCGGUUGCUUAACUUGGAUGCGG
rnacentral:lncRNA from 1 species